rnacentral:rRNA from 1 species
AUUGAACGCUGGCGGCAGGCCUAACACAUGCAAGUCGAGCGGAUGAAGGGAGCUUGCUCCUGGAUUCAGCGGCGGACGGGUGAGUAAUGCCUAGGAAUCUGCCUGGUAGUGGGGGAUAACGUCCGGAAACGGGCGCUAAUACCGCAUACGUCCUGAGGGAGAAAGUGGGGGAUCUUCGGACCUCACGCUAUCAGGUGAGCCUAGGUCGGAUUAGCUAGUUGGUGGGGUAAAGGCCUACCAAGGCGACGAUCCGUAACUGGUCUGAGAGGAUGAUCAGUCACACUGGAACUGAGACACGGUCCAGACUCCUACGGGAGGCAGCAGUGGGGAAUAUUGGACAAUGGGCGAAAGCCUGAUCCAGCCAUGCCGCGUGUGUGAAGAAGGUCUUCGGAUUGUAAAGCACUUUAAGUUGGGAGGAAGGGCAGUAAGUUAAUACCUUGCUGUUUUGACGUUACCAACAGAAUAAGCACCGGCUAACUUCGUG